AGUCUAACCCUUAAAAAAGACUUUUUUAAGGUAUGACUAAAAUACCAAUCACGAAUAAAGAACUCCUCGUCAGGGUUCCGUGAUUGGUCAUAUGGGGAAACCUAUAUGUGAGCCGAAAGGCUCU
rnacentral:sRNA from 1 species